rnacentral:snRNA from 1 species
GUGCUCACUUAGGCAGCACAUAUACUAAAAUUGGAAUGAUACAGAGAAGAUUAGCAUGGCCACUGCACAAGGAUGACACACAAAUUUGUUAAGUGUUCCAUAAAAAA